UUUUUACUCCCUGAACUCUCCAAAUCCUAACUCUUCUAUGCAUCAAAUCCAUAUUCUCUAGCAUGUUUUUGCAAAAUCCGAUGCCAUCAAACGAUUCUACACACCUCCAAUCAUAUUUCUAACGAUUAUUUUCUCGAACACGUGUUUACAAAAAUUUGUUCUCCUCUCACUUUAUGAAACUGAUUUUUUUUUAAAAUCUUAGCCUCUUGAAUCUUUCA
rnacentral:lncRNA from 1 species